rnacentral:rRNA from 2 species
AAAUUGAAGAGUUUGAUCAUGGCUCAGAUUGAACGCUGGCGGCAGGCCUAACACAUGCAAGUCGAGCGGAAACGAGUUAUCUGAACCUUCGGGGAACGAUAACGGCGUCGAGCGGCGGACGGGUGAGUAAUGCCUAGGAAAUUGCC